rnacentral:rRNA from 1 species
GAUGAACGCUAGCGGGAGGCUUAACACAUGCAAGUCGAGGGGCAGCACGUCUUCGGAUGGUGGCGACCGGCGCACGGGUGCGUAACGCGUAUGCAGCCUGCCUUAUACAGGGGGAUAGCCCAUGGAAACGUGGAUUAACACCCCAUAGUACUAAUAAUCCGCAUGGAUUUAUAGUUAAAACUUCGGUGGUAUAAGAUGGGCAUGCGUAAGAUUAGGUAGUUGGUGAGGUAACAGCUCACCAAGCCGACGAUCUUUAGGGGUUCUGAGAGGAUUAUCCCCCACACUGGUACUGAGACACGGACCAGACUCCUACGGGAGGCAGCAGUGAGGAAUAUUGGUCAAUGGGCGCAAGCCUGAACCCAGCCAUCCCGCGUGCAGGAUGACGGCCCUAUGGGUUGUAAACUGCUUUUGUUUGCCAAGAAUGGUUACUACGUGUAGUAAUUUGACGGUAGCAAAUGAAUAAGGACCGGCUAACUCCGUGCCAGCAGCCGCGGU